GCCCCCCGCCCCAGUUUUCGGGACGGGGAAAGCUUUCGGGAAACCUUUGAGAAAGAAGUGUAAAGGAUGGAGAGUCAUGUCCUUCCUGGCGGUGGUGGCUGCCAAGCACCAGCCCACACCGCUGGCCUGGGUGCAGAGACCGCGGGCGCCCCUGAGCGACAAUCCGCUCUCACCACCAGCCGCGCAGGGGAAAGGAGAUGGAGAUGUGCUAGUGACUGGCGCACGCGGAGCGAGGGCAGAGUGGAACGGGCAGACGCUCGGGGUCCCGGGACAAUCCUGUGCCCUUGGGAGUCUGGCGGUGUGGGGAGCGCUCUCGACGUUAAAACCCAGUAAAGAGGCGAAGGAGUUGUUUCAAUUACAAGUUCACAAGGACCCCCCUCUAAUCACUCUUUUCUUCCCUGAUUUUUUUAAAUUAAAAAAAAAACAAAUUCAAGUUAA